AAUUCAUCCAAUGAAACCCUAAUUUCUUUCCAUGUAAACUUAAUACACUCCCCUAUCUAUCCACAGAGCCACCAUCACCUACUCCACUCUUCUCUGGUCUUCAUCGUCCCCGUCGUCGUCUAGCCCAACACUCGGUGCCGAUCUUCGCCCAUUUUGCGGCGUCAUUCUUAGCCUCUCUCUUCCCGUCGUUCAUUCGCAGUAAAAAGGAACAGAUGAAGGAGCAGAUGAAGUUUUAUCUGUCUUUAUGUCAAAUGUUUCCAUUUUCCAUGUUAUUUGUUCUUGGAACUUGAAAGUGUUCAUUUAUGAUGAUAACUUGAAUGCCUUUCAUAUUUGAUUGUCACACAGCAUUGCAAAUGCUAACUUGAUGCACUCUUUAUGUUCAUUGGCAUGACAUGAAUCUGAUAAGUGUUUGAUUCAUUAAGGUAGUUCAUUCUUGUGGAUCUUCAUUGUUGUGUAUUAGUGCUUUUAUUCUUGUGCUUGAGUUAAUUAGUGAUAUAUGAUAUAGUCAAUGAGAGCUGUGACUUAUGCAAUAACACAUUGAAUGAUUGAGUUGAACAGAUUUUCAGCACGUUCUUACAUUCUGAGGACAGAGGUCCGGGAACUCUCUUGGUCAUUCCAUUCAUCAUAUGACAUAAUGGCUAAUUCCUUGGAUGGCACAUCAUUUUCAAAUUUUUUAGCUGUAUCUUAUGACAGAUUUGGUUGCAGACAAUAAUGAAGAAUCAAAUUUUGUGUAAAAAGCCAUACACUCUAGAAAGCUCUGCUGAUGCUACCAGAAACUUGUCUCAACAGAAUCUCAACUUCUAAGAACUUCUAUUGAAGGAGUUGAGCUAAAGCCGUGAAUAAAGAGCUAGAAGAUGCAAAAUAUGAAUUGAUCUUUUCAAAGCAUUGCUACAACGGCUAGAGUUAGCAUAGAAGCUGGAUCAACAUUCGGUUGGCAGAAGAUUGUUGGCAGACAGGGGAAAGCCAUAGGCAUUGACCGUUUCAAAGCAAGUGUUCCAGCAGGGAAGAUAUACAAAGAGUUUGGUAUCACCAAGGAAGUUGUUGCUACUACAAAAGAACUUCCAUAAAUCCUCCGAGUUUUCUUGAUUUUUGUUUCUUUUUAUUCAGAACUUUUAAAUUUCAAUAGUGGUAUGGAAUAUGGAUUUCAAUUAUGAAUCUGUUUCUUGAGAAAUAACUUUAGCCACAAUAACAAAGAUUAGAUUACUCUUGAAAAUAGUUCUCAGAUGAGAGACAUAGACUGAAGGAUGAGUGGAAUCAACGAAGUUUUAUGAAUUUGUAACAACUCUUUUGACUUGUGAGUUUUUUUUUGCUGUGAUGUAGCACUUAUUCAUAUAUAAUGCAAUUAAUUUA